rnacentral:tRNA from 1 species
ACCUGGGUAGCUCUGUUAGUAGGGUUUUACACUUCUAUUUUAAUGGUCCAAAGUUCAAGUCCUUGUUCAGGUG